GUGACUGCGUACCUUUUGUAUAAUGGGUCAGCGACUUAUAUUCUGUAGCAAGGUUAACCGAAUAGGGGAGCCGGAGGGAAACCGAGUCUUAACCGGGCGUUAAGUUGCAGGGUAUAGACCCGAAACCCGGUGAUCUAGCCAUGGGCAGGUUGAAGGUUGGGUAACACUAACUGGAGGACCGAACCGACUAAUGUUGAAAAAUUAGCGGAUGACCUGUGGCUGGGGGUGAAAGGCCAAUCAAACCGGGAGAUAGCUGGUUCUCCCCGAAAGCUAUUUAGGUAGCGCCUCGUGAAUUCAUCUCCGGGGGUAGAGCACUGUUUCGGCUAGGGGGCCAUCCCGGCUUACCAACCCGAUGCAAACUGCGAAUACCGGAGAAUGUUAUCACGGGAGACACACGGCGGGUGCUAACGUCCGUCGUGAAGAGGGAAACAACCCAGACCGCCAGCUAAGGUCCCAAAGUCAUGGUUAAGUGGGAAACGAUGUGGGAAGGCCCAGACAGCCAGGAUGUUGGCUUAGAAGCAGCCAUCAUUUAAAGANGCCAGCUAAGGUCCCAAAGUCAUGGUUAAGUGGGAAACGAUGUGGGAAGGCCCAGACAGCCAGGAUGUUGGCUUAGAAGCAGCCAUCAUUUAAAGAAAGCGUAAUAGCUCACUGGUCGAGUCGGCCUGCGCGGAAGAUGUAACGGGGCUAAACCAUGCACCGAAGCUGCGGCAGCGAACGUAUCACCCAAGACAACUUUACGGAGUUGACGAUUGACGGAGCGAAGCGACGUCAAAGCGUUCAUUAAAGUCGAGUUGGCUUAGGGAUACGUUC
rnacentral:rRNA from 1 species